rnacentral:lncRNA from 1 species
GAUCAACUCAAAGAUGCUCGGCAUCGAUUCAAAUAAUUUCUUAGGCCUAAACAACAGUGUACAUACGCAAAACAUUUAGAUUUUACAUAAAUAUAAAGGUGAAUUUACCUUAGGCUUAGCUGUAUUAUAUCACAAAUGGCGGCGGUGAAGAUCUGCAGUCGAAAGCGCUGAGCCGGAUGACGUCAUUUUUAUCUACGUCAUCGCACGUGUUAUGACGACAGAGCAGAAACAUCUUUCCGAGGCGCAUUAUAGACUCUACAUAAGUUAAACCUAAACGAACCGAAACAUCGGACAGUAUUGACUACAGUACAGUUUGAAUUACAAGACAGAAAAAAAGCAACAAAUUUCAGACGUCCAACAUUCUUCCUGCUCACAUGCUUACAUCUUGUGGCGUCAGAUAAAUAGCCAGUAGCCAAGUAUUGAUGUAGCCGUAGUGGAAUAACUGGGAAACUCUUAAUUUUAUCUUUGAAGAAACUUAAAUGACAGUAUUGACUGGAGUUUGAAUUACUCAAAGGGAAAAAGACAAAACAGUCCAAAAAAAAAAAAAAAAACAGUCGUCCAUCUUCCAUCCGGCAUAUAUCUAUAGGUGUUGGAUAAAAAGCGAAGUUAUGGAGCCGAAAUUGAGUACUUGGGGAAAUUAGCUUUGAAGGUAAAGUUUGUAUUUUAACAGCGUCAAACGGAAUACAUUAGAGAAAUAUAUUUAUAAAAUUAAUUAAACUUAACUAUGAAGAAGAACAAACGUUCCCGGCGGAACUCGAACCAAAAAUACAAUAACCAAAUUUUAUAUGUAGUAUGCUUAUAAAUAUUCUCCAUUUUGCUACUUGUUCGUGUCUGCCGGUCUGUCUCUAUUAUAUCUUCAAAUGUAUCAAUCAGUUUAUCAAUCCAUACGUCCGUUCGCACAUCAAUCCAUUUGUGAAGUCACCAUAUACG